GGGGGUGACAUGGUUUCGACGGGGGAAGCUGGUCACAGACUGCAAGCCGAGGCGCUCUCCCCUCGUUAAUCCAGAGCAAAACUAUAAGUGCCAAAAGUGCACCUCGUCUCGCAAUGGCUGCAUAACAGCCUAGCAGACAAACUGAUAGCCUGAGGGCUAUCCGUCUGCCCUAACCGUAUCUGUUCGGGUGGCAAGCAGGCGUAACAAAGAACAGAGUGCGCUGCCCUCACACCGAUACCGGGCGGCAAAGAUCAAAUCGGUUAGCGUUUGGCGAACCUCCGUCUGCUUGGGUUGCCAUCCGCGAAAUUGAGGAGCGGACUAAGCUUGUAGACGUUUGUGGUCGAAUCUUUCGGACGGCGGUUCAAUUCCACCCACCUCCACCU
rnacentral:tmRNA from 1 species